CUCACUUCCGGUCGUGUAAGCACCUCCCCCCGCCCCCACGUGGGGUGACUGACACACGCUGGGCCCAAUGAGCAUUAGGCCGCGUGCUCAUGCAGGCAGUGCGCCUGCGCAGGAGCCACGCCCAUCGUGAGCCCGGAGGCGCCGCAGCAGGUGGGGAAGGUAGGGUCCCCGCACAGCGUCGACGCGGCCCGCGCGUUCUUUCCUCGUUCCUCGGGGAUGGGCUGCCUUGUCUGGCAAGACUCUGCCGUUAGGGUGAGCCGCUGCAGAGCCGAAGGAAGACCUGAGGGAAGGCCGGAGACAGGUGUCCUCCCAGAAGAUAACCAGGCCGUCGGGACACCUGGCGUCCAGCCCCCACUGCAUGGGCCCUAGGCUGGACAAACGGGCAGAGAGCAGCAGAAGCCGGCCGAAUUCUGCGUUUCCGUGAUGGUGUUCCCAGGGUCACGCCAUCCUCGCCUUCCCCUCCGGAGCUCCGUUCUUCCAUCUGGGUCCUUUGGCCUCCAGCCUUCCCUCUGUCCUCACGGUCCCAGGGCCUCCAGAGCCUCUGCAGAGUGAGGCUGCACAGAUGGACCUGAGCUGUGGUCUCUCCUCCCCAGUCUGCCAUCGCCCCAGGAUGGGGUUAAAGCUGCCUGGCUAACCCACAUCAAAGGCCAUACCCAUCUUGUCUCCAUCCAGCCCCCCUCCGGCGCCCCCGCCUCUCCACUCCCCGCCCUGGCCUCCUCGUGCUUGUUCUGCCCAUGGAAUGUUCUUCAGCGGCUUCUCCAUGGAACAGACUCAUCUUCCAAGACCCAAAUGAAUCUCCGUCUCCUCUGAGAAGAUCUCCUAAGUCUCUGAGCACCCCGUGUCCCGCAGCCUGGCACCCCGUCCUUGGAGCCCGCUCCCCUCCCUCAGUCCGCGUUGCGGCUCUGUUCGUGUUCACCCUGCUCACUCCCUUGAUCGCAGCCCCUGGCAGAAAGACGUGGCUGAGCCCCACUCUGUGCCUCAAAAACAUACACAGCAGUCCUUUAAUACGAGAUGGGGAGAAUGCAUACGAGUGAAGGGACUGGUUCCUUCCUGCGCCCCAGGGGAUCACCUCUGCAGCUCCCAGGGUGAGCGCACCCCUACCUGGAACCUUACCUUAGAUCAGGAGCUUGAGGGUGGACGAGGUGUUGAUUGUGGUACUUCCCAAAGGCUGGCACAGCACCUGGGCACGUGGCGCGACCUCUGUGAACAGGUGGGUGGAUGGGUGGAUGGGUGGGUAGAUGAAUACAUGCGUGUCCAAAGUA